rnacentral:rRNA from 1 species
CCUACGGGAGGCUGCAGUGAGGAAUAUUGGUCAAUGGGCGCGAGCCUGAACCAGCCAAGUCGCGUGAGGGAAGACGGUCCUAUGGAUUGUAAACUUCUUUUGUCGGGGAGCAAAAGACGCCACGCGUGGCUUUUCGAGAGUACCCGAAGAAAAAGCAUCGGCUAACUCCGUGCCAGCAGCCGCGGUAAUACGGAGGAUGCGAGCGUUAUCCGGAUUUAUUGGGUUUAAAGGGUGCGCAGGCGGAAGAUCAAGUCAGCGGUAAAAUUGAGAGGCUCAACCUCGUCGAGCCGUUGAAACUGGUUUUCUUGAGUGAGUGAGAGGUAUGCGGAAUGCGUGGUGUAGCGGUGAAAUGCAUAGAUAUCACGAAGAACUCCGAUUGCGAAGGCAGCAUACCGGCGCUCAACUGACGCUCAUGCACGAAAGUGUGGGUAUCGAACAGGAUUAGAUACCCCUGUAGUC